rnacentral:tRNA from 1 species
AUUCUUUUAGUAUAAUAAGUAUAAUUGACUUCCAAUCAAAAGGUUAAAUAUUUAAAAGAAUA